AUGAUUCUUCGAGACAUGACCGGGGCUGUUAUCUUUGCAUCCUACCGCAAAUUGUUCCACUGCAAUGAAGCUCUCGAGGCAGAAUUGCAAGCCAUGUUGGAAGGGCUGAAGCUGGCGAUAGAGCAUUCUCAAGCCACUAUCGUAAUUCAGUCUGAUUGUGCGGUGGCUCUUAAGAUGCUCGGGGAUGGUUCAUUGGACAGAUCGGCGUAUGGGCACUUUGUGUCAGAGAUCAAAAGGUAUUUGAAUGAUAGGGUGAUUAUUCCUGUUAAAAUUCUUCGAGAACAGAAUAGGGUUGCACAUUGUUUAGCUAAUUUUGGUAGAUGUGGGGAUAGCACAGCCUGUUGGUUGGGUCAUCCACCCCAUGCAUUAGCAAGCUAG
rnacentral:rRNA from 1 species